GACGAACGCUGGCGGCGUGCCUAAUACAUGCAAGUUGAGCGAUGAAGAUUGGUGCUUGCCCCAAUUUGAAGAGCAGCGAACGGGUGAGUAACGCGUGGGGAAUCUGCCUUUGAGCGGGGGACAACAUUUGGAAACGAAUGCUAAUACCGCAUAACAACUUUAAACAUAAGUUUUAAGUUUGAAAGAUGCAAUUGCAUCACUCAAAGAUGAUCCCGCGUUGUAUUAGCUAGUUGGUGAGGUAAAGGCUCACCAAGGCGAUGAUACAUAGCCGACCUGAGAGGGUGAUCGGCCACAGUGGGACUGAGACACGGCCCAAACUCCUACGGGAGGCAGCAGUAGGGAAUCUUCGGCAAUGGACGAAAGUCUGACCGAGCAACGCCGCGUGAGUGAAGAAGGUUUUCGGAUCGUAAAACUCUGUUGGUAGAGAAGAACGUUGGUGAGAGUGGAAAGCUCAUCAGGUGACGGUAACUACCCAGAAAGGGACGGCUAACUACGUG
rnacentral:rRNA from 1 species